UAAAAAGCACAAACUUAAAAAAAUGUAUUACUGUCCAAAUUAGAAACUAAAAUUAAGUUAAAUGCUAAGCAGGAAUGGCAAACCAACUAUUCUAAACAGUGAUAAUUUUUAUCUUUUAAAAAAAAUGAAGAAGAAUAAAAUAUUUAUGGAAGGUAUUUUCAGGCGCGCCUUCCUUUUUCUCAUUGAAUUUUGCCUUGCAGUUUUUUGGAAUUCCAAUAUAGCAAUAAACCCAAAACAAGAAGCACCAACCUUUUGGUGCUUUUAGGUUUCUAGCCCUUAGAUCUACUCCUUAAUUACUAAUAGUUCUUAAAUCAAACACUAUUCCAUCUACCACCACCUACCACCAUCAUCUCAACCUCACAUCCUUUCAUCUAAUGGCUAAAAACUCAAAAACACCACCCUCUUAGUACUUUUGAGAGUAUUCUAGCUUAACUAUAUAUAUAUAUAUAUAUAUAUAUAUAU
rnacentral:lncRNA from 1 species